rnacentral:lncRNA from 1 species
GAAAAAGCUAAGAUCUCUGCCCUUCUGAGCUCCCAGUCCAGUGGGGGAGACAGACACAUGUGUAGCUCAAGCCGAUCCAAGAUGAUCUGGAGAAGGGUUAGAGGAGCCGGGGGAAGGAUCGGCGGGUAGGGACGGGAGAAACGCUGUGUCCGGGAAUCAGCAUGGGGUUCCUGGCCUUCAGGGAUUUCUAGCUUCUGAGGAAGGAGGUCCUUCAGUCCUGAAAUGACAUCUGGGGAGCAUGUCACAGCAUCCACUAGAGUCCACUGCUUGUGCUGCUUGGAUCCACUUCUUCAUGGAGAAGUUCCUCUACCAAAAUUAUCUUGAAUGAUUCAACCGCUUCAAAUCCUUCAACAGUUCCCAAUCACUUACAGAUGGAAGUCCAAACCCCCCUGGCGUGAUUUUCAAGGUCUCCUCUUUUUAAAAAACGGAAUCUUUGGCAGAUCAAAGGUGGAACUAGAACCUAAGUCAACUGACUCCUGUUCUAAUAAUCCCUGAACAAAUAGCUAUAGUAAAUGUAGUAAGUUCUACAAGAAAGAUUAAGAUAGAGCACAGGGGUGGAUGGGGAGGCCCAUUUGUCAUAUGAUGCUUGCAUCUCCUCAGCCAUUCAUUUCCAGGGAUUGGAAUGCCUCCUAAAAGAUUAACCAUAGUCAUCUCGGGGUGGCAGAGUUGCAGGUGGUUUUUCAGAAUUUUGUUAUCAUUUUGAGUAUUUUUCAACAGC